GGCUAAGGUCGCAAAUUGCACAUAUGCUGAACCGUGGUGCGUGAAAUAUAUCAAUAUUUCACGCACCCCGGUUCAGCAUAUGUGCAAUUGAAAAUG